rnacentral:rRNA from 1 species
AUUGAACGCUGGCGGCAGGCCUAACACAUGCAAGUCGAACGAGUGGCGGACGGGUGAGUAAUGUCUGGGAAACUGCCCGCUGGAGGGGGAUAACUACUGGAAACGGGAGCUAAUACCGCAUACCAUCGGAUGUGCCCAGAUGGGAUUAGCUAGUAGGUGGGGUAAUGGCUCACCUAGGCGACGAUCCCUAGCUGGUCUGAGAGGAUGCCCGGCCACACUGGAACUGAGACACGGUCCAUACGCCUACGGGAGGGAGCAGUGGGGAAUAUUGCACAAUGGGCGCAAGCCUGAUGCAGCCAUGCCGCGUGUAUGAAGAAGGCCUUCGGGUUGUAAAGUACGUUCAGCGAGUAGGCGUUACUCGCAGAAGAAGCACCGGCUAACUCCGUGCCAGCCGCCGCGGUAAUAC